AAGUCGUAACAAGGUUUCCGUAGGUGAACCUGCGGAAGGAUCAUUAACACGUAUCCAACGUUAAACCCCCCCUGUGAACCUUAAGCGCAGCUCUUGCAGCCUUGAUAAAAACAGCAAUCCUGGUAAAUCAGUCCGAGAAAAGUCUUUGAUUCAGGACCUCUGUCUAAAAGGAUGCAAUCGAGCGCUGGAUUAAGUGGCUUGGUUUCCCCAAGCAGUUAGUAUUCUGAAAGUGUUGCUAAUUGUGUAAGGAUAACGCUUUACGAUUGCUGUAGGCCGAACACCGGCCGGCGACUCGGCCACCGGGCUCACGCCCCCUAAUCACGCCCAGCAGUUAUAUCUUCGGACGUCUCCACAGCAAGUGCGCCGGAGCUUCGUCCAAUACCGAACAACUGUUAACAAUGGAUAUCUUGGUUCUC
rnacentral:misc_RNA from 1 species